AUAGAAAUAUGAAAAAUAUUUAGUUGGGGGCUGUUUUGAUAUUUUAGAUAGUUUUGGGGGAGAAAGUGAGAUAAGAUAAGUAAUUAGGAAGAGAUAUAAAUAGGGAAGACCUAAUUGUUAGAAAAACUAUUGUACGUGAAAACUUUUGGAAAAGGGAGAAAAAGCUUAGAAGGGAGGAGAUCAAAGAGAGAGCUGCGAUUUCUUCAUAACCAGGUAAGGGUGAGACUAAUAACUCAGUAAUGGUAAUUGAUGAUAAUUCUGAUGAUUAGUUAGCAAGAAUUAGGAUUGAAUUGGAGAAAACGAAAACUAGGUCAAAUCCCUAGAAUUGAUGAUCAAACGGUAGGAAUUGAUUAAAUUGAUGUAGAAAGUGUUCCUAGACCUUAGAUAAUGUUUAGGACGAACUUUGGAAUCAGUAUUAGGCUUAGAACCAUGAGAAUCGUCGAAUUUUUGUGGAAAUAGCAGGUCUGGCCGUAGCGAAAUUCAUCGCUCGCCACGGCGAGCUAUGAGUUUCGCCUCGCGAGUGAUGAACAUUCAUCGCUCGCCUCGCGAACCCUUUUCCCUCGCCUCGCGAGUUGUGCAAUGCAGCUCGCCACGGCGAGCAACCUUACUCGCCAUAGCGAGCUAAGGCAGAGAGCAUGUAGGAUUUUGCAAUUUCGACUUUUUAGUUGGACCUUGAGUGCCAUUGUGUGCCUGAACAUACCUAGUAAUGAUUAGGAAUGAAUGUAGGACAAGAUUGAACCUAGAACACCAUUAGUUUGGAAAUUGACUGGUACUCGCCU
rnacentral:lncRNA from 1 species